rnacentral:rRNA from 1 species
AUACGGAGGAUCCGAGCGUUAUCCGGAUUUAUUGGGUUUAAAGGGUGCGCAGGCGGGAGAUUAAGUCGGCGGUGAAAUUUUUCAGCCCAACUGUAAAAGUGCCUUCGAAACUGGUUUCCUUUAGUGUGGAUGAAGUAGGCGGGAUUUGUGGUGUAGCGGUGGAAUGCAUAGAUAUCACGAGGAACUCCGAUUGCGCAGGCAGCUUACUAAACUACUACUGACGCUCAGGCACGAAGGCGUGGGGAUCAAACAGGAUUAGAUACCCUGGUAGUCCACGCAGUAAACGAUGAUUACUAGCUGUUUGCGAUACAAUGUAAGCGGCUGAGCGAAAGCGUUAAGUAAUCCACCUGGGGAGUACGUUCGCAAGAAUGAAACUUAAAUGAAUUGGCGGGG